rnacentral:misc_RNA from 1 species
UUUAUAAUUGCUUGACUUUAGUUUGAACAUUAAAUGACUAUUCAAGUUUUAACAUAUUAGUACUUGAAUGCUUAUUAGUUAUUAUUAUUUUUAGUUUUAUGUUAUUUGAAGUUUGAUGGAAUAUUCAUUUUUUUUUUUGUGCCUCAUCUCGCUCAGGCGUGCGCCUUCUCCUUGUGCCUUGCGCCUUGGCUCAAGGACCCCUUGGUGCCUUAGUGCGCCUUGAGCCUUUA